rnacentral:rRNA from 1 species
UACGAAGGGGGCUAGCGUUGCUCGGAAUCACUGGGCGUAAAGCGUAUGCAGGCGGAUCGUUAAGUCGGGGGUGAAAUCCCGAGGCUCAACCUCGGAACUGCCUUCGAUACUGGCGAUCUUGAGUCCGGGAGAGGUGAGUGGAACUCCGAGUGUAGAGGUGAAAUGCGCAGAUAUCAGGAAGAACACCCGUGGCGAAGGCGGCUCUCUGGGACGGUACUGACGCUGAGACGCGAAAGCGUGGGGAGCAAACAGG